UACGGAGGGUGCGAGCGUUGUCCGGAAUCACUGGGCGUAAAGGGCGCGUAGGCGGCGCGGAAAGUCAACGGUGAAAGCUUGGGGCUCAACCCCGAGUCGGCCGUCGAUACUUCCGUGCUCGAGCACUGUAGAGGCAGGUGGAAUUCCGGGUGUAGCGGUGGAAUGCGUAGAUAUCGGGAGGAACACCUGUGGCGAAAGCGGCUCACUGGACCAUAACUGACGCUGAUGCACGAAAGCUGGGGGAGCAAACAGG
rnacentral:rRNA from 1 species